rnacentral:rRNA from 1 species
UUGCCCUAGUAACGGCGAGUGAAGCGGCAACAGCUCAAAUUUGAAAUCUGGCCUCCCUUGGGGGUCCGAGUUGUAAUUUGCAGAGGGUGCUUUGGCGUCGGCAGCGGUCUAAGUUCCUUGGAACAGGACAUCACAGAGGGUGAGAAUCCCGUACGUGGUCGCCUGCCUUCGCCGUGUAAAGCCCCUUCGACGAGUCGAGUUGUUUGGGAAUGCAGCUCUAAAUGGGAGGUAAAUUUCUUCUAAAGCUAAAUACCGGCCAGAGACCGAUAGCGCACAAGUAGAGUGAUCGAAAGAUGAAAAGCACUUUGGAAAGAGAGUCAAACAGCACGUGAAAUUGUUGAAAGGGAAGCGCUUGCAGCCAGACUUGCUCGUAGUUGCUCAUCCGGGUCCGCCCGGAGCACUCUUCUGCGAGCAGGCCAGCAUCAGUUUGGGCGACCGGAUAAAGGCCUCUGUCAUGUACCUUCCCUCGGGAUGGCCUUAUAGGGGAGGCGUAAUGCGGCCAGCCCGGACUGAGGUCCGCGCAUCUGCUAGGAUGCUGGCGUAAUGGCUGUAAGCGGCCCGUCUUGAAACACGGACCAAGGAGUCUAACAUCUAUGCGAGUGUUUGGGUGUCAAGCCCGGGCGCGUAAUGAAAGUGAACGGAGGUGGGAACCCUCUCCGGGGGGUGCACCAUCGACCGAUCCUGAUGUCUUCGGAUGGAUUUGAGUAAGAGCAUAGCUGUUGGGACCCGAAAGAUGGUGAACUAUGCUUGAAUAGGGUGAAGCCAGAGGAAACUCUGGUGGAGGCUCGCAGCGGUUCUGACGUGCAAAUCGAUCGUCAAAUUUGGGCAUAGGGGCGAAAGACUAAUCGAACUAUC